rnacentral:piRNA from 1 species
ACUGAGAAAGCACUUCUGAAGCU